UGAGGGAAAGCUGCAAAGUACUCUGAAGAGAGAGUUCAAAAGGACGUGAAGCCGUCUGCAGGGAAACGGGUAAGACCGCACGGUAGACCCGCGGUGGAUUCAGCUUUGAGGGGAACCUCAUCGUGCACUUCCGCGCCAGUGGGUCGCGCAGGGCCCGGCUUGGUGGCUGUCUGAAGCCCAAUGAGGAGGUGACGGGGUCCUUUGGAUCCCGAGACUAACUCGUUGGUGCGGAGACCGGCUGCUAGGCUGAGGAGUGUCCAUAAUCA
rnacentral:rRNA from 1 species